GGAGGGUUGGCAGAGCUUGGCUUAUUGCAGUGGUUUGCUAAACCGCCGAGUACAUCGUAUGGCUCCAUAGGUUCGAAUCCUAUACUCUCCGCCA
rnacentral:tRNA from 1 species